UUAUGCGAGCGUUUCCGGAUUAUUGGGCGUAAAGAGCUCGUAGGCGGUUUGUCGCGUCUGCUGUGAAAGCCCGGGGCUCAACCCCGGGUCUGCAGUGGGUACGGGCAGACUAGAGUGCAGUAGGGGAGACUGGAAUUCCUGGUGUAGCGGUGAAAUGCGCAGAUAUCAGGAGGAACACCGAUGGCGAAGGCAGGUCUCUGGGCUGUAACUGACGCUGAGGAGCGAAAGCAUGGGGAGCGAACAGGAUUAGAUACCCUGGUAGUCCAUGCCGUAAACGUUGGGCACUAGGUGUGGGGGACAUUCCACGUUUUCCGCGCCGUAGCUAACGCAUUAAGUGCCCCGCCUGGGGAGUACGGCCGCAAGGCUAAAA
rnacentral:rRNA from 1 species